GCCUUGGCCUCCCAAAAUGCUGGGAUUACAGCUGUUACUAUCAUAAUGCCAUGUAACAAACCACCCAAAACUCAGGCUUGCUUCCUCACAAUAAGCCUUUAUUCUUACACUCAUGGGCCUAAAGGUCCAGUUUGGCUUAGCUGAUCCUCCAUUCAAGACUUGGAUAAAUGACUCUGCUUCAGGCUGUUGGAUUGGUUGGGUUCUGUCGGUGCCAAAUCCAAGGUUGGGUUUACUCUGCUCCACAUUUGAUAAUUCUCAGGAUAAGGAGCCAGAGUAAGAAAAGACAGAGGGUGAGACAGCUGUCACAAGAUCUCCGGAAAGUGGCAUCAUAUUUCACAAUUUCAUGAUGGAGUUUUGUUCUUGUUGCCCUGCCUGGAGUGCAAUGGCAUGAUCUCGGCUCACUGCAACCUCCGCCUCCCGGGUUCAAGCGAUUCUCCUGCCUCAGCCUCCCGAGUAGCUGGAACUACAGGACACUGUGGUGAGCCAGGGUGGCAUAUGGAAGAAGACAUAUCCUGGAUAUAAUGGAUCAGCGAGAUGGAAAGAGCUGGGUUUCUGGGUGACUUUGUGCAGUGGAGCCCCCUGCUUGUGUCAGACCAUCUGCCUCCUUCUGGAUUCUUAGGGUCUGGCUCUGUCGCCCAGGCUGAAGUGCAGUGGUGCAGUCACAGCCCACUGCAGCGUCCACUUCUUGGGCUCAAGUGAUCCUCCCACCUCAGCAUUCUGAGUAGCUGGAACUACAGGAAUGCACCACUGCAUGCAACUUCUUCAAUAUCUUGACGUCUUUGUUUCAAAAUCUCAUUUAUAUGCUAAUACAUUCACUUACUCUCUGGGCAAUAGAGUGUAUCUGAGACAAAUGGAUUCAGUGCUUAACCUGAGCCAAAGUUUGUAAACAAAAUUUAGAAUUUAUUGGUCAGUUAGUCGACCCUAAAAGCAAAAAAGUCCAGUCCCAAUUAGACUGAAUACAAAUGGGGCCCCAUUAACAUUAAUGCCUGAAUUUCAAUACCUCAUUAUUUUCCACAUGGAGGACCUCAACAUCUCCUCUCUACAAGCUUCCCACACUAUGUUGCAGGAUUCUGCGGUGUGGGGUGCGGGGAUGUUUCAUUUGUGUCCAGGAAAAACUUUGCUCAUAACAGAUUUGCUGCUGUUAAAGUCCCAAUGGCAAGGCUGGGUACAGUGGCUCACGCCUGUAAUCCCAGCAUUUUGGGAGGCCGAGGCGGGUGGAUCACCUGAGGUCAGGAGUUUGAGACCAGCCUGGCCAACAUAGUGAAACCCCGUCUCUAAUAAAAAUACAAAAAUUAGCUGGGCAUGAUCACAGGUGCCUGUAAUCCCAGCUACUUGGGAGGCUGAGGGGGGAGAAUCAGUUGAACCUGGGAGGCGGAGGUUGCAGUGAGCUGAGAUUGUGCCAUUAGUGCCAUUAUAGUACAGCCUGGGUGACAAAGCAAGACUGCGUCUCAAAAAACAAAACAAAACAGAACCCUGGCAUGGUGGCGGGCACCUGUAAUCCCAGCUACUGGGGAGGCAGGAGCAUCGCUUGAACCUGGGAGGCGGAGAUUGUGGUGAGCCAAGAUUGUGCCACUGCACUCCAGCCUGGGUGACGCAGUGAGAUCCUGUCU